rnacentral:pre_miRNA from 1 species
UUGGGUGAAAUCAAUGUGGAACCUCUACACUUUGAAAAUGGAACCCAAAUAAAGUAGUAGGACAUACAUUGAUUUUAGAGAA